UGUUAACCAUUUUUGAUUUUAUCAAAACUGUUUCCUAAUUUAAAAAUGUAAUAAAUGAUAUUUUCUCGUGUUUGUUUAAAUCAGAUAAAUUUUUAAAAUGCAAUUAUGAAUAAAUGUAAAGCUUGCUAUUCGCUAAUUCUAGCACCUAAACAAUUAAACUCAACGAGGUUUAUUUAUUAAUUUCAAAGCGUUAAAGAUUUCAUGUCGGAUAUUAUUUAAGUGAUUAGUUUAAACUCACAAAUUUCGUAAGGAAAAAACUAGCAACACAAUUAAAUAGAAAUAAAUAAAAAUCAUAUAAUCGUAAUUAACUUUAUUGGUUACAUAUAAAAUAAUUUGCAAAUUGCUGGAAUAUGGUCAAUUGCUUGGGGUUUAUAGAUUCUGAUACUUAAAGUUGUUAAACCGUUCGAGGGAGUUAUGAAUUUAAUCAUUUUUAUCAAUAUAUUACUUGUUAUAUUGGGUGUUUUAUCAAUUGUGGAUUCUGUGCCGAUAUUAAGCAAAAAUCAGAUACAAUCAUUUGAUAUGCCGCAAAUGCCCCCGAUGCCUGAAGAUUUUGGAAUGCCCAUGCCUGGUCAACCAGGCCAAUCUGGUCCUCCAGGACAAUCAGGCCCACCGAUGCCGAAUGGCUUUUAAAUUGAUCUUUGAUUUACUAAAAUUAUUAUUAUCGAUGGAUAAUGGUAAAGAAAAAUACUUAAAUUAUGUGUGAAUACAAAGAUUUAUUAAUAUGUUUUUGUUAUUAAAAUGAGUCUCACGAAAAAAUGUCA